rnacentral:rRNA from 1 species
CCUACGGGAGGCAGCAGUGGGGAAUAUUGCACAAUGGGGGAAACCCUGAUGCAGCAACGCCGCGUGAAGGAAGACGGUUUUCGGAUUGUAAACUUCUGUUCUUAGUGAAGAAUAAUGACGGUAGCUAAGGAGCAAGCCACGGCUAACUACGUGCCAGCAGCCGCGGUAAUACGUAGGUGGCAAGCGUUGUCCGGAAUUACUGGGUUUAAAGGGUGCGUAGGCGGGCUUUUAAGUCAGCGGUAAAAAUUCGGGGCUCAACCCCGUCCGGCCGUUGAAACUGGGGGCCUUGAGUGGGCGAGAAGAAGGCGGAAUGCGUGGUGUAGCGGUGAAAUGCAUAGAUAUCACGCAGAACCCCGAUUGCGAAGGCAGCCUUCCGGCGCCCUACUGACGCUGAGGCACGAAAGUGCGGGGAUCGAACAGGAUUAGAUACCCCAGUAGUC